GCUCAUUGAAGCAGUCAUGUUGUAUUUGAUUGUCAUUGAUACUUGGAUAACUUUGGAAAUUUUAAAGCUAAUACAUGCAACCAAAUUCGACUUCCUGGAAGGGUUGUGCUUACUGGGUACAGGACCAACCCAGGAUCUGCCUGGUCUUGUGGCGAUUCAUAGCAA
rnacentral:rRNA from 1 species